UUUCCUACGGGGGGCAGCAGUGGGGAAUAUUGCACAAUGGGCGCAAGCCUGAUGCAGCCAUGCCGCGUGUAUGAAGAAGGCCUUCGGGUUGUAAAGUACUUUCAGCGAGGAGGAAGGCAUUAAGGUUAAUAACCUUAGUGAUUGACGUUACUCGCAGAAGAAGCACCGGCUAACUCCGUGCCAGCAGCCGCGGUAAUACGGAGGGUGCAAGCGUUAAUCGGAAUUACUGGGCGUAAAGCGCACGCAGGCGGUCUGUUAAGUCAGAUGUGAAAUCCCCGGGCUCAACCUGGGAACUGCAUGUGAAACUGGCAGGCUUGAGUCUUGUAGAGGGGGGUAGAAUUCCAGGUGUAGCGGUGAAAUGCGUAGAGAUCUGGAGGAAUACCGGUGGCGAAGGCGGCCCCCUGGACAAAGACUGACGCUCAGGUGCGAAAGCGUGGGGAGCAAACAGGAUUAGAUACCCCAGUAGUC
rnacentral:rRNA from 1 species